GUGUCAGCCGCCGCGGUAAUACAGAGGUCCCAAGCGUUGUUCGGAUUCACUGGGCGUAAAGGGUGCGUAGGUGGUCGGGUAAGUCUGAUGUGAAAUCUCCGAGCUUAACUCGGAAACGGCAUCGGAAACUACCUGGCUAGAGGAUUGGAGGGGAGACUGGAAUUCUCGGUGUAGCAGUGAAAUGCGUAGAUAUCGAGAGGAACACCGGUGGCGAAGGCGAGUCUCUGGACAAUUCCUGACACUGAGGCACGAAAGCUAGGGGAGCAAACAGGAUUAGAUACCCGCGUAGUCC
rnacentral:rRNA from 1 species